AAAGCCCUACUGUGUGCGUAAAAUGGUCUCGAUGUUUUGAACCAACAUCUUUUACAUUGGGAGUUCGGACUCUGUGUCUGCAAAGCAAUGCCUUCACUGGACUGCUGAACGUCAUAGGAGAACACCCACCUGCUUAGGCAGGCUCAAAACUCGAUUUAUAAACGGCAUAGUGGGGAUUCU
rnacentral:other from 2 species